rnacentral:rRNA from 1 species
UACGGAGGGUGCAAGCGUUGUUCGGAAUCAUUGGGCGUAAAGCGCGUGUAGGCGGCUUGGUAAGUCGGGUGUGAAAUCCCGGGGCCCAACCCCGGAACUGCAUUCGAAACUGCCUCGCUAGAGUCCCGGAGAGGAAGGCGGAAUUCCCGGUGUAGAGGUGAAAUUCGUAGAUAUCGGGAGGAACACCAGCGGCGAAGGCGGCCUUCUGGACGGUGACUGACGCUGAGACGCGAAAGCGUGGGGAGCA